GUAGCAUGGCCCAGAUAGUUAAUCAGCUUACUCAUCCUGUCGGCCGCGCCAUAGCUCAAGCGUUAGUCGCUGGCUUCCAACCGCGGGGGCCCGGGUUCGGUCCCGGGUCUGGUCUAGUGGGAUUUGUGUUGGACAAAGUGGCGCUGGGGCUGGUUUUCUCUCAGUAUUCCAAUUUAUCCUGCCAGUUCUAAUUCAGUCAUCUGCUCCACACCUGCUCUAUAAUUGAGCGAAUUUCCUCUAGUUGUUGUGAAGUAAAACCCCGAUUCUUUUCCGUGUACUCAUGAGCCAGUACGUUUAUUUACUUUUGAUUGCAGUGAUCUAAACAAGCUUUGAAAUAAUAUUGUAGAUGCUAUGGGAUUUGCUAUGCUGUGAAAUUAGCUGAGUUUGCCUUGCAUUUCUAAAAGGAACAAAUUGACCUUAAAGUAUCAAGUUGGACGGUCGGAGUGUAAAUAUGCACCUGUGUAUCAUACUCGAGUAUUUUUAUUUUUCUUUAUUUUCAGAAACGCAACGCCUGUGGGAGGUUAUAAAAGUUAAAAUGGGCGAAAACGCGACAGAAUAUGGCUGUUUCUUGGUGUUCAUCAUUUUGACCAUAAUCUUCAUAUACCUGCAAGUGGGACAAUACACGACCACAAGUAACCUACAAGUAGGAGGCAAUUCCAUGCCCUGCCAUUUAUUUGAUUUUGUGUUGUUUCAAAAAAUUAUAUGUGGUAUGUAGUGUAUCUACAGUUAUAAACCACCAGCAUUUACAAGAAAGAUGUGCUAUCGCUAAUUUACAUUCUGCAAUUCACUAUAGCAUAUGCUAAGUAUUCUCAGUAUGCUGUAUUUUCACCGGUCGUUGCCUGAUGACAGACCAAAGUAAUGUCCUCUUCUUCUAUGCUCACGUUCUUAUCAGCUGGCGAUUCACCCACAACUAACCUAUUCAUUCACCAAGCAACUCACUCUACUGUACUGACUGACCGUACCUUCAACUUGUACCGCUUAUGACACCUCGACAUGGACAUCACAGAGAACACCGUUCCUGUUGUUGUUUAUGGACUGUUGCCUAAUAAAGGCCGUUGUCUAGUCGUUUUUCCCGGUCGUUGCAUAGCAACGGGUCUACAUACCAUAGUAUUUUACAAUGUAAUAAUUGUUUUAAUAGUAUCUAUGUAUGUAUGAAUAUUAUCCUUUCUCGCCGCAUAAUGGCAUAAACCCAUUGCAAAUGAACUUAUUUUACUUUUCAAACCUGUUAAAGAUAAUUUCCACCGUUCAUGGAAUUAUUAUUACUAUUAUUAUUAUAUAAACUGUCUUAUUUUGCAUUUUGUUUGUAAGUGUCUUGCUAUGUUUCUGUUUACGUAUUCGUGCUAACUUUGUAAUUGGCGUAUGGAACGUUAAGUUUGCGUGUAAAUAAACAAGAAUUGAAUCAUUAUAUUAUUACCUCCUAAAUUAUAACUUUGAUUUUUGUUAUUAUUACUACUUUAUUAUCACGCAAAUAUUAUAAAUGGCCUCGUUUGGUACAUUUUUUUUGUACUUUCACUCAUACUCUUUCUGUAAUUGGUGCUUGGACUGUUGAGUUAACAUGCAAAUAAAUAAGAAUUUAAUUGAAUUAUUAAAUACGCUUGGCAUAUCUGACCUAAAGCACAAGAUCACUCUCGGAAAUAAAAUUCGCUGAAUGUCGAAUGAUAAGCUUGUUCGCUUGGACCUACUUUAGUAAUAUGAUCUGUAAACUUUUAGACGGAAUGGCAAAGCUUUUAUGUCGGUAUAUGAUGCGCUCACCUCCAAGAUGAGUGAAUUUUACACGCACUGUUAAGCAGAUAGGUAAGUUUACAUCACAAAACCAAAAAGUAAAUAUUGUGGCGUAUUUGCUCUAUGUAGGAACUGUUGAGCCACAGAGGCCUCGGGGCACGCGCACAACGUGAGAGUUGCGGAUUAUUUCGGCUCAUUGCUAGGCGACAACUCUGUGAACGUUUGGAUAGCGCAACAGGAAGUGCGAGUGACGUCACAUACCCCCACUCAUCCCGUUGCCGCGCGACGCUCGGUAAAU